rnacentral:rRNA from 1 species
UACGUAGGGUGCAAGCGUUGUCCGGAAUUAUUGGGCGUAAAGAGCUCGUAGGCGGUUUGUCGCGUCGAAUGUGAAAACCCGGGGCUCAACCCCGGGCCUGCAUUCGAUACGGGCAGACUAGAGUUCGGUAGGGGAGUCUGGAAUUCCUGGUGUAGCGGUGAAAUGCGCAGGAUAUCAAGGAGGAACACCGGUGGCGAAGGCGGGUCUCUGGGCAAUUCCUGACGCUGAGGCGACGAAAGCGUGGGGAGCAAACGGG